AACGAACGCUGGCGGCAUGCCUAACACAUGCAAGUCGAACGAGACCUUCGGGUCUAGUGGCGCACGGGUGCGUAACGCGUGGGAAUCUGCCCUUGGGUUCGGAAUAACAGCGAGAAAUUGCUGCUAAUACCGGAUGAUGACGUAAGUCCAAAGAUUUAUCGCCAAAAGGAUUGGCCCGCGUCCGAUUAGCUAGUUGGUGAGGUAACGGCUCACCAAGGCUACGAUCGGUAGCUGGUCUGAGAGGAUGAUCAGCCACAUUGGGACUGAGACACGGCCCAAACUCCUACGGGAGGCAGCAGUGGGGAAUAUUGGACAAUGGGCGCAAGCCUGAUCCAGCCAUGCCGCGUGAGUGAUGAAGGCCUUAGGGUUGUAAAGCUCUUUUGUCCGGGAAGAUAAUGACUGUACCGGAAGAAUAAGCCCCGGCUAACUUCGUGCCAGCAGCCGCGGUAAU
rnacentral:rRNA from 1 species